GAUCAUGGCUCAGGAUGAACGCUAGCUACAGGCUUAACACAUGCAAGUCGAGGGGCAGCAUUUCAGUUUGCUUGCAAACUGGAGAUGGCGACCGGCGCACGGGUGAGUAACACGUAUCCAACCGUGCCGAUAACUCGGGGAUAGCCUUUCGAAAGAAAGAUUAAUACCCCGAUGGUAUAAUUAGACCGCAUAGGUCUUGUUAUUAAAGAAUUUCGGUUAUCGAUGGGGAUGCGUUCCAUUAGG
rnacentral:rRNA from 1 species